CAGUCGAGGGGGAUAACAGUUGGAAACGACUGCUAAUACCGCAUACGCCCUACGGGGGAAAAGAGGGGAUCUUCGGACCUUCUGCGAUUGGAUGUACCUAGGUGGGAUUAGCUAGUAGGUGAGGUAAUGGCUCACCUAGGCGACGAUCCCUAGCUGUUCUGAGAGGAUGAUCAGCCACACUGGGACUGAGACACGGCCCAGACUCCUACGGGAGGCAGCAGUGGGGAAUAUUGCACAAUGGGCGCAAGCCUGAUGCAGCCAUGCCGCGUGUGUGAAGAAGGCCUUCGGGUUGUAAAGCACUUUCAGCGAGGAGGAAAGGUUAACGGUUAAUACCCGUUAGCUGUGACGUUACUCGCAGAAGAAGCACCGGCUAACUUCGUGCCAGCAGCCGCGGUAAUACGAGGGGUGCAAGCGUUAAUCGGAAUUACUGGGCGUAAAGCGUACGCAGGCGGUUGAUUAAGCGAGAUGUGAAAGCCCCGGGCUUAACCUGGGAACUGCAUUUCGAACUGGUCAACUAGAGUCUUGUAGAGGGGGGUAGAAU
rnacentral:rRNA from 1 species